rnacentral:lncRNA from 1 species
AGCUCCUUGCCGUCCCAGGCACUUCCGCUGCAAGAGGUUGAGAGCGCGGCCUUCAUUCCUCUGGUGGAGCAAGCGCCUGGCUCUCCUUUCUGAUUCCUGCAGCAGAGGAGGCUGUUCCUGGACUAUUUCUGACCUGUUUUUUAAGAAAGAGUGCAUCACUCAACAGGUGGCAUCUGGAGUUAUCCUCUGUGGAUUUUCCAGGAUCUCAGACAAGAUCGUGCAAUCUCCCGGCCUCCUUUCCUUCCCCUGCUCUGGCUUCUGAAAGAAUGCUGCGGAGAGGAGGAAAGACAGCAUCCUGGCUCCUAGCAGCAGAGCCCCACUGUGACAGGACCUAGCAUUCACCUUUCUCUUCUGUUCCGAGUGGAAGAAGAAGCAACAGAGAGACAAGAUUUGGAAUAGUGGCUCUGGUAUGAAAGCCAGAUUCAGGUACUGUUCCUGCCUCUUGACCUCAUCAAGCCUCAGCUUCCUCACCUGUUAAAUGGAUACAAUUGCCAUCAUCAUAUUUGUUGAGAACUCCCUAAAAUGCCAGGUAUUAUGCCAAGGGCAUUGAAUAAAUUCACUCAUUGAUUCUUCA